rnacentral:rRNA from 1 species
AAUGAACGCUGGCGGCAGGCCUAACACAUGCAAGUCGAACGGAUCCUUCGGGAUUAGUGGCGGACGGGUGAGUAACGCGUGGGAACAUACCCAAAGGUACGGAAUAGCCUCGGGAAACUGGGAGUAAUACCGUAUGUGCUCGAAAGAGGAAAGAUUUAUCGCCUUUGGAUUGGCCGGCGUUGGAUUAGGUAGCUGGUGGGGUAAUGGCCUACCAAGCCGACGAUCCAUGGCGGGUUUGAGAGGAUGAUCAGCCACACCGGGACUGAGACACGGCCCAGACUACUACGGGAGGCAGCAGUGGGGAAUCUUAGACAAUGGGGGAAACCCUGAUCUAGCCAUGCCGCGUGAUCGAUGAAGGCCUUAGGGUUGUAAAGAUCUUUCAGGUGGGAAGAUAAUGACUGCACCACCAGAAGAAGCCCCGGCUAACUCCGUGCCAGCAGCCGCCGUAA